UACGUAGGGUGCAAGCGUUGUCCGGAAUUAUUGGGCGUAAAGAGCUCAUAGGCGGUCUGUCGCGUCGGAUGUGAAAACUCGGGGCUCAACCCCGAGCCUGCAUUCGAUACGGGCAGACUAGAGUUCGGUAGGGGAGACUGGAAUUCCUGGUGUAGCGGUGAAAUGCGCAGAUAUCAGGAGGAACACCGGUGGCGAAGGCGGGUCUCUGGGCCGAUACUGACGCUGAGGAGCGAAAGCGUGGGGAGCGAACAGG
rnacentral:rRNA from 1 species